rnacentral:pre_miRNA from 3 species
CAUACGAUGUACUGUCUUUGUGCUAAGGUGCAUCUAGUGCAGAUAGUGAAAUAGACUAGCACCUACUGCCCUAAGUGCUCCUUCUGGCAUAAGGGGCUGUAAUAUG